UGGUCAAGUUAUUAAGGGUGCAGGGCGGAUGCCUUGGCACUAGGAGCCGAUGAAGGACGUGAUAAGCUGCGAUAAGCUUCGGGGAGUUGCACGUAAACUUUGAUCCGAAGAUUUCCGAAUGAGGAAACUCACUUAGAGUAAUGUCUAAGUAUCAUUAAGUGAAUACAUAGCUUAAUGAGGGGAACUCAGGGAACUGAAACAUCUAAGUACCUGAAGGAAGAGAAAGAAAUUCGAUUCCGUAAGUAGCGGCGAGCGAACGCGGAUUAGCCAAAACCAAUAAAGUUUUCUUUAUUGGGGUUGCGGACAUAUCAUAACGAAGAGGUAUCGUAAUUGAAGAGGUUUGGAAAGACCCACCACAGAAGGUAAUAGUCCUGUAUGUUAAACGAGAAGACUUUAGAUAUGAUCCAGAGUACCACGGGACACGUGAAACCCUGUGGGAAGCAGGAGGGACCACCCUCCAAGGCUAAAUACUACCUAGUGACCGAUAGCGUAUAGUACCGUGAGGGAAAGGUGAAAAGAACCCCGGGAGGGGAGUGAAAUAGAACCUGAAACCCUGCACUUACAAGCUGUGGAAGCACAUUUCUUGUGUGACUCCGUACUUUUUGUAGAACGGGCCAACGAGUUACGUUAAGUAGCAAGUUUAAGCACUUAAGGUGUGGAGCCGUAGCGAUAGCGAGUUUUAACUGAGCGUUCAGUUACUUGUCGUAGACCCGAAACCGGGCGACCUACCCAUGAGCAGGAUGAAGCGAAAGUAAAAUUUCGUGGAGGUCCGAACCCACGAGCGUUGAAAAGCUCGGGGAUGACUUGUGGGUAGCGGUGAAAUUCCAAUCGAGCCCGGAGAUAGCUGGUUCUCCCCGAAAUAGCUUUAGGGCUAGCCUCAAGGUGAGAGAUACGGAGGUAGAGCACUGAAUGUCCUAGGGGGUAUUGCACCUACCGAAGACUAUCAAACUCCGAAUGCCGUCAUCUUAUACUUGGGAGUCAGACUGUGGGUGAUAAGAUUCAUAGUCGAAAGGGCAACAGCCCAGAUCGUCAGCUAAGGUCCCUAAAUGUAAGUUAAGUGGUAAAGGAUGUGGGAUUGCACAGACAACCAGGAUGUUGGCUUAGAAGCAGCCACUCAUUCAAAGAGUGCGUAAUAGCUCACUGGUCGAGUGAUCCUGCGCCGAAGAUUUCCGGGGCUAAAACUUACUACCGAAGCUACGGCAUCAGUAAUGA
rnacentral:rRNA from 1 species